rnacentral:lncRNA from 1 species
GACCCUCGUGACAGCCAGAGAAUGUCCGUUUCUCGGAGCGCAGCACAGCCUGUCCCAUCGAGAAGCCUCGGGUGGACAUGGACUCCAUGGAAGCCUGAGCUGCCAGGGGCUUCCCUGGGGCAGCACUGCUUCGCGUAGGCUCACGAGAAACUUCCAGGGUUCCUGGGAAAUGAAUGAAAAUAAACAAACAAAUUCCUUGCAUUCAACGCAGCGUAAGAAAAAUCACAUCCUGUUCCCCAGUAGCUGAGGAAAGCCGGCUCACGAGAGUAUACAGGGAGAAGAGGCCAGCAUUGUGUGGCUGCCAGCAAAGCUCACUUGUAUGUCAAAUGCAGCGCUUUUCUUAGCCCAUUAUGUAUUUUUUUUUUCUUGAACACUCCUGUGUCUACUGGGAUCUCCUGUUUUUAUUGUUUUGGGAUGAGAUUUUAAAAACACCAUUUAAUGUA